rnacentral:rRNA from 1 species
GAUGAACGCUGGCGGCGUGCUUAACACAUGCAAGUCGAACGAUGAAGCCCAGCUUGCUGGGUGUAUUAGUGGCGAACGGGUGAGUAACACGUGAGUAACCUGCCCUUAACUCUGGGAUAAGCCUGGGAAACUGGGUCUAAUACCGGAUAUGAGCGUCCACCGCAUGGUGGGGGUUGGAGAGAUUUAUCGGUUUUGGAUGGACUCGCGGCCUAUCAGCUUGUUGUGGAGGUAAUGGCUCACCAAGGCGACGACGGGUAGCCGGCCUGAGAGGGUGACCGGCCACACUGGGACUGAGACACGGCCCAGACUCCUACGGGAGGCAGCAGUGGGGAAUAUUGCACAAUGGGCGCAAGCCUGAUGCAGCGACGCCGCGUGAGGGAUGACGGCCUUCGGGUUGUAAACCUCUUUCAGUAGGGAAGAAGCGAAAGUGACGGUACCUGCAGAAGAAGCACCGGCUAACUACGUG